rnacentral:lncRNA from 1 species
GUUUUUGACUUGCUCCUGUAUUUAGCACAAGAAGAAAAGGAAGUGGAAGGACUCUCAUUGUCUGAACUGUCACUGGUGCUCAGAUGCCUGUGGCGUUUCAUCCUGACGCAUCAUGCCAGGUCAUGAGGUAGAGGUUUUCGCUUCAUCUGAUGACAUCACAAGCUCCUCCCGCCGCCGGCGAGGCACGGCCCGGCCCGGCCCGGCGCGCCGCCGCCUCUCCGCUCGCCGGCGUGGGCGGCCGCGGCCGUCAGGGCUGGCGCCGACGCUCCCGCCGCGGCGGCUGCCGCCGGUGCUGCUGCCGCUCCCGCUGCGGCUGCUCCUGCUGCCGUCCCGCGCCGGCGCGCAUCGCCCCCGCCCGGGCCCGUGGCCGGCGGCGGCUCCCGCCCUGCGUGCCGGCUGCUCGGCGCGCCGCGGCCGAGCCCGCGCCCGCCCCCACCCCUCCUCCGGCCGCACAAGAGCCCUA